rnacentral:misc_RNA from 1 species
GGAAGUGAAAGUCGUAACAAGGUCUCCGUAGGUGAACCUGCGGAGGGAUCAUUACAGAGUUCUCGCCCUCGCGGGUAGAUCUCCCACCCACUGUUAUCGUUACUGUCGUUUCUUUGGCGGGCCGCCGGGUCCCCGGCCGCCGGCGUCUAAUAGGCGGCGCGCGCCCGCCAGAGGCAUUUGAACCCUGAAUGUUAGUGUCGUCUGAGUACUAUAUAAUAGUUAAAACUUUCAACAACGGAUCUCUUGGUUCUG